rnacentral:rRNA from 1 species
CUACGGGAGGCAGCAGUGAGGAAUAUUGCACAAUGGGGGGAACCCUGAUGCAGCAACGCCGCGUGGAGGAUGACGCAUUUCGGUGUGUAAACUCCUUUUAUAUGUCAAGAAAAUGACGGUAGCAUAUGAAUAAGCACCGGCUAACUCCGUGCCAGCAGCCGCGGUAAUACGGAGGGUGUAAGCGUUACUCGGAAUCACUGGGCGUAAAGGACGCGUAGGCGGGUUGGAAAGUCAGGUGGGAAAUCCUACAGCUUAACUGUAGAACUGCACUUGAAACUUCUAAUCUAGAGUAUGGGAGGGGGAGAUGGAAUUAGUGGUGUAGGGGUAAAAUCCGUAGAUAUCACUAGGAAUACCUAAAGCGAAGGCGAUCUCCUGGAACAUUACUGACGCUAAGGCGUGAAAGCGUGGGGAGCAAACAGGAUUAGAUACCCGUGUAGUC